rfam:Triticum aestivum genome assembly, contig: Triticum_aestivum_CS42_TGACv1_scaffold_288526_4AL
UUAUUACUCCCUCCGUUCUAAAAUUCUUGUCUUAAAUUUGUCUAGAUAUGGAUGUAUCUAUAUUUAGACAAAUCUAAGACAAAAACUUUAGGAUGCAGGGAGUAUUAU